rnacentral:misc_RNA from 1 species
GCGAUACCAAACUUUAUGGAGGACAUUUUCCCCUGCACUAUUUAAUAACGUAUUUUAAAGGUAUAUAUAUGUCCGUGUGGACACAUUACUAGUUAUAGUGAUGCAAUAUUUAUGAUGUCCAGGUGAACAUAUAUAUCAUAUAUGUCUUUAAAAUAUGCUAUUAAAUAGAUUAGGGAGGUAAAAGGUCCUUUCCAAAGUUCG